rnacentral:rRNA from 1 species
UACGUAGGGUGCAAGCGUUGUCCGGAAUUAUUGGGCGUAAAGAGCGUGUAGGCGUCUUGGAAGGUCAGCUGUGAAAACUCGAGGCUCAACCUCGAGACGUCGGUUGAAACCACCUGGCUAGAGUCCGGAAGAGGAGAGUGGAAUUCCCGGUGUAGCGGUGAAAUGCGCAGAUAUCGGGAAGAACACCCGUGGCGAAGGCGGCUCUCUGGGACGGUACUGACGCUGAGACGCGAAAGCGUGGGGAGCGAACAGG